AGAUUGAACGCUGGCGGCAUGCCUUACACAUGCAAGUCGAACGGCAGCACGGGAGCAAUCCUGGUGGCGAGUGGCGAACGGGUGAGUAAUAUAUCGGAACGUGCCCAGUAAUGGGGGAUAGCCCGGCGAAAGCCGGAUUAAUACCGCAUACGACCUACGGGUGAAAGCGGGGGAUCGCAAGACCUCGCGUUAUUGGAGCGGCCGAUAUCAGAUUAGCUUGUUGGUGGGUAAAAGCCUACCAAGGCGACGAUCUGUAGCUGGUCUGAGAGGACGACCAGCCACACGUGGGACUGACGACACCGGCCCAGACCUCCGUAGGGGACGGCGGCGAGGUGGGGUAAUUUGGACGAAGUGGGACGAAA
rnacentral:rRNA from 1 species